ensembl:lncRNA
CCCACCCCCAACCCCACAGUGCCAAGCCAGCUAUUAAGGCUGGAGAAUACAAGUCCUGACUCCAGCUCCCUGGCCUGUGGCGUGGCCAGCCAGACCCUGGUUGCCCUGGGGAGUCAGGGACAGAACGGCAGCUUCUCUCGGCUGACUUUUGGGUCCUGGCCCACUUCCAUACAACUGACCAAUUCUUGGGUCUGUUGCCCUAAAAGAGAUCCCAGGGGACCUCAUCCUUGCCAUGGGGCUGUGCAUCCCCCCAACCCCCCUUGGACACGGAGAGGGGGAGCCAGCUCUCAGCAUGCCUCCAAAGUGAAAGUGAAAGCCGCUCAGUCGUGUCUCUGUGACCCCAUGGACGAUACAGUCCAUGGAACUCUCCCGGCCAGAAUACUGGAGUAGGUAGCCAUUCCCUUCUCGAGGGGAUCUUCCCAACCCAGGGAUCGAACCCAGGUCUCCUGCAUUGCAGAUGGAUUCUUUACCAGCUAAGUCACAAGGGAAGCCCGCAUGACCCCAAGGAGAGCCUCAAGUCAGCUGAGGUCUGCAUGCAGCUGUGUGACAGCAAGUAUGUCCCUGGCUGCCAGCCAGCCAGCGCCUCCAUUAACCGCACAGCGACAGGCACUAGUGUUCAGGGGGUCAGAGGUCAAGGCUAUGGAUCUCUUUCUUUUCCCUGCUUUGAUUCCCCCUCUCACAGGAGACGCAGCCUGACAGGUGAUCUUAUUUAAGAGAAAAAUCAGUUGUACUUUCCUUGGUAUUUAUCCUGUUUUCUGACCUCAUUGUGGAUGGAGGGAGUCAAGGCCUGAGUGGCUGAGGCCUGAAGGGACCUGAAAUCUCUCUUCUCCAUCAACUCCCCCAUCCUCAUCCAGGGUCAGCAGGCCCAGGAAGGUGGCAGGGCUUCAUGCAGGCACUUCAUCUAUCUCUUGCUUCCCUGUGCCUGGUGGCUUCCCAAGUGAUAGUGGCAGCUGGGAAUCCUAGAGCCCUACAGAAUGGCCUGGACCUGGUGUUACAAGCAUCGAGGGCUUCACAGAGAAAGGUGGGUAGUGAGUGAUAAGGAAAAGUCCAGCAGGUGGCAAAGGGGAGGGCAGAGGGCACAGCCUAAGCUAAGUCCUGGCAAAGAAGCAGCUGCCACCUCCCAGAAAUGGGGUAGCUGAAGUGCUGGCAGGGUUAGCCAGGGCUGAGUCAGGGAGGGGUUUGUGAAUGCCUGGUUAAGAGCCUCGGAUGUCCCCAGGCUGGAGGAGCUGGGGAAGCAGGGUAACUGCAGAGGGGAGGUACUGGGAAGAGAUCUGGCAGAAAGACCGCGGGGACCACCCCCAGGUGAAGGGGUCAGGCUUCAAGCUAAAGGGGACAGAAAGAGACAGGAGAGGAGUUAAGCCAGAGAGAAGGCCCGGUGAAGCUGGGCGGGAAGAAGCAGUGGUGAGUCUCCCUCGAGGCCCACAGGCUUGCAUGCCACAGGAUACCCAGCGCCGAGAUGGCAGCCAGAGCGUGCACCUGUGUACCCUACUGAGUGCCAGACCUGCCUGGCUCACCCUUUACUACCGCGGGACAAGCGUGGAGAGGGGACUGAGAGGUUCAGUCUCCCCCUAGGGACACACAGCUGGUGAGCAGCAGAAUCAGAAUUCAACCCAGUCACUCCCCAGCUACUAUAGGGGUGGAUUCCUGGGACAGGCUCCGAUCCACCCUCCCGGAGCAAACUGACCCCCACCUGGCGCUCUCUGGAGGCUCUCCCACCCCGGCCCCCCUGCCCUGCCCAGCUCCCAAGCCAAGGGAGGGAAGGUAGCGUUUAUGUUAAUGUAUGUUAAUGGGGACUGGGUGCCACCGGAGUCCACCCUGCCGCAUUCCUGGCACCUCCUCCCCCGGGUUAUGGCGGAGGAGGAGAGAGGGAGGCCCCACCCCCAAGGCCCCUUGUCUCUCUCCCCACUCCCUCUCCCCCCUGCUGGGCAACGAAGAAAACAGAAGUGAGUGAG